rnacentral:rRNA from 1 species
CAGCAGUGGGGGAAUAUUGCACAAUGGGCGCAAGCCUGAUGCAGCCAUGCCGCGUGUAUGAAGAAGGCCUUCGGGUUGUAAAGUACUUUCAGCAGUGAGGAAGGCGGAGUCGUUAAUAGCGGCCUCGUUUGACGUUAGCUGCAGAAGAAGCACCGGCUAACUCCGUGCCAGCAGCCGCGGUAAUACGGAGGGUGCGAGCGUUAAUCGGAAUUACUGGGCGUAAAGCGCAUGCAGGUGGUUUGUUAAGUCAGAUGUGAAAGCCCCGGGGCUCAACCUCGGAAUUGCAUUUGAAACUGGCAGACUAGAGUACUGUAGAGGGGGUAGAAUUUCAGGUGUAGCGGUGAAAUGCGUAGAGAUCUGAAGGAAUACCGGUGGCGAAGGCGGCCCCCUGGACAGAUACUGACACUCAGACUGCGAAAGCGUGGGGAGCCAAACAGGAUUAGAUACCCCUGGUAG